rnacentral:rRNA from 1 species
UACGUAGGUGGCGAGCGUUGUCCGGAUUUACUGGGCGUAAAGAGCGCGCAGGCGGUCGAUCAAGUCGAGUGUGAAAGCCCCCGGCUCAACUGGGGAGGGUCAUUCGAUACUGAUCGACUCGAAGGCAGGAGAGGGUAGUGGAAUUCCCGGUGUAGUGGUGAAAUGCGUAGAUAUCGGGAGGAACACCAGUGGCGAAGGCGACUACCUGGCCUGUUCUUGAGGCUGAGGCGCGAAAGCUAGGGGAGCAAACGGG